rnacentral:rRNA from 1 species
UACGUAGGGUGCGAGCGUUGUCCGGGAAUUACUGGGGCGUAAAGAGCUUGUAGGCGGUUUGUCGCGUCUGCUGUGAAAUCCCGAGGCUCAACCUCGGGCCUGCAGUGGGUACGGGCAGACUAGAGUGCGGUAGGGGAGAUUGGAAUUCCUGGUGUAGCGGUGGAAUGCGCAGAUAUCAGGAAGAACACCCGUGGCUAAGGCGGCUCUCUAGUACGGUACUGACGCUGAGGCGCGAAAGCGUGGGGAGCAAACAGG